rnacentral:tRNA from 1 species
GCCUUGUGGUGUAUAAGCACAUAAAAUUGCAAAUUUUAAAGAGCAAAAUGACUCUGCCGGGGCUU